rnacentral:rRNA from 1 species
UUCGAUUAUGGCUCAGAUUGAACGCUGGCGGGGAUGCUUUACACAUGCAAGUCGAACGGCAGCACGGGCCCCCCGGUCUGGUGGCGAGUGGCGGAAACGGGUGAGUAAUGCAUCGAACGUGCCUAGUAGCGGGGAUAACUACGCGAAAGCGGUAGCCAAUACCGUAUACGCCCUUCGGGGAAAGCGGGGACUCCUUCGGGCCUCGCACUAUUAGAGCGGCUGAUAUCGGAUUAGCUAUUGGUGCCGGGCAACGCUCACCAAGGCGACGAUCCGUAGCUGGUUUGAGAGGACGACCAGCCACACUGGGACCGAGACACGGCCCAGACUCCACGCAGGUAAGCAGGGGAAAUUUUGACAAUGGGGAAACCCUGAUCCAGCCAUCCCGCGUGCGCGGUCACGCCUUCGGGUUGUAAAGCACUUUUUGGCAGGAAAAAGAAAUGGCACGGGAUAAUACCCCGUGCAACUGAUUUAACGUCCGCAGAAUAAGCACCGCUAACCACGCCAGCAGCCGCGGUCACGUAGGGUGCAAGCGUUAAUCGGAAUCACCGGGGCGGGGCGUGCGCAGCAGGCGGUUCGGAAAGAAAGAUGUGAAAUCCCAGAGCUUAACUUUGGAACUGCAUUUUUAACUACCGAGCUAGAGUGUGUCAGAGAGGGAGGUGGAAUUCCCGCGUGUAGCAGUGAAAUGCGUAGAUAUGCGGAGGAACACCGAUGGCGAAGGCAGCCUCCUGGGAUAACACUGACGCUAUGCACGAAAGCGUGGGGAGUAAACAGAAUUAGAUACCCGGUAGUCCACGCCUCUAAACGAUGUCAACUAGCUGUUGGGGCCUUCUGGGCCUUGGUAGCGCAGCUAAUCAUGUGAAGUUGACCGCCUGGGGAGUACGGUCGCAAGAUUAAAACUCAAAGGAACGUCCGACGGGGACUCGCACAAGUCUGUGGAUGGUGGAUUAAUUCGAUGCAACGCGAAAAACCUUACCUACCCUUGACAUGUCUGAAUCCUGAAGAGAUUUGGGAGUGCUUCGCAAGAGAACCGAACACAGGUGCUGUAUGGCUGUCGUCAUCAGUUUCCGUGUCGUGAUGUUGCUGCUCCAAACGAGCGCAACCCUUGUCAUUAGUUACGAAAGGGCACUCUAUCCAGACUUGCCGGUGACAAACCGAGGAAGGUGGGGACGACGUCAAGUCCUCAUGGCCCCAGGGUAGGGCUUCAACACGUCAUACAAUGGUCGGGACAGAGGGUCGCCAACCCGCGAGGGGAGCCAAUCCCAGAAACCCGAUCGUAUCCGGAUCGCAUAGUCUGCAACUUCGACUGGUGCGAAGCUGAAUCGCUAGUAAUCGCGGAUCAGCAUGUCGCGGUGAAUACGUUCCCGGUUCACACACCGCCCGUCACACCAUGGUGAGUCGUCACCAGGGCGAAGUUAGCCUAACCGUAAGGGAGGGCGAUUACCACGGUAGGAUUCAUGACUGGGGUGAAGUCGUAACAAGGUAG